UGUUCAUGAUGUGGACAAUCCCAAAUAAGUUCCUUAAAAUGUUCCCAUGCAUAAUAAAUAUUUCCACCUAUCUUAUUCUUAAAACUCACUAUCUCACUGUGAAGUC
rfam:Capsicum annuum cultivar Zunla-1 unplaced genomic scaffold scaffold189, whole genome shotgun sequence